rnacentral:rRNA from 1 species
CCUACGGGGGGCAGCAGUGGGGGAUAUUGCACAAUGGGGGAAACCCUGAUGCAGCGACGCCGCGUGGGUGAAGAAGCGCCUCGGCGCGUAAAGCCCUGUCAGCAGGGAAGAAAAUGACGGUACCUGAAGAAGAAGCCCCGGCUAACUACGUGCCAGCAGCCGCGGUAAUACGGAGGGGGCAAGCGUUAUCCGGAUUUACUGGGUGUAAAGGGGGCGCAGACGGGGAUGCAAGCCAGGAGUGAAAGCCCGGGGCCCAACCCCGGGACUGCUCUUGGAACUGCGUGGCUAGAGUGCAGGAGGGGCAGGCGGAAUUCCUGGUGAAGCGGUGAAAUGCGUAGAUAUCAGGAGGAACACCGGUGGCGAAGGCGGCCUGCUGGACUGCAACUGACGUUGAGGCCCGAAAGCGUGGGGAGCAAACAGGAUUAGAUACCCUAGUAGUC